rnacentral:rRNA from 1 species
GAUGGAGGGGGAUAACUACUGGAAACGGUAGCUAAUACCGCAUAACGUCGCAAGACCAAAGAGGGGGACCUUCGGGCCUCUUGCCAUCGGAUGUGCCCAGAUGGGAUUAGCUAGUAGGUGGGGUAACGGCUCACCUAGGCGACGAUCCCUAGCUGGUCUGAGAGGAUGACCAGCCACACUGGAACUGAGACACGGUCCAGACUCCUACGGGAGGCAGCAGUGGGGAAUAUUGCACAAUGGGCGCAAGCCUGAUGCAGCCAUGCCGCGUGUAUGAAGAAGGCCUUCGGGUUGUAAAGUACUUUCAGCGA